UACGGAGGGUGCUAGCGUUGUUCGGAAUUACUGGGCGUAAAGCGCACGUAGGCGGCUUUGUAAGUUAGAGGUGAAAGCCCGGGGCUCAACUCCGGAAUUGCCUUUAAGACUGCAUCGCUAGAAUUGUGGAGAGGUAAGUGGAAUUCCGAGUGUAGAGGUGAAAUUCGUAGAUAUUCGGAAGAACACCAGUGGCGAAGGCGACUUACUGGACACAUAUUGACGCUGAGGCGCGAAAGCGUGGGGAGCAAACAGG
rnacentral:rRNA from 1 species